rnacentral:rRNA from 1 species
CUUCGUGAAGCUCGGAUUCGCUAGUAAUCGCGCAUCAGCCAUGGCGCGGUGAAUACGUUCCCGGGCCUUGUACACACCGCCCGUCAAGCCAUGAAAGCCGGGGUACCUGAAGUACGUAACCGCAAGGAGCGUCCUAGGGUAAACUGGUAAUUGGGCUAAGUCGUAACAAGGUAAC